ACUUGGUGAUGUGGGAAUUUAGGCAAAAGGUCCCUAAAGCGUUCCCAUGUCUCGAAAAAUUGCUCAUCAUCUAUCUGUGAGAAACUAGUGAUUGCCUUCCUAAGCU